rnacentral:rRNA from 1 species
CACGUAGGGGGCGAGCGUUGUCCGGAUUUACUGGGCGUAAAGAGCUCGUAGGCGGCUCAGUAAGUCAGGUGUGAAAACUCCAGGCUCAACCUGGAGACGCCACCUGAUACUGCUGUGGCUAGAGUCCGGUAGGGGAGCAUGGAAUUCCUGGUGUAGCGGUGAAAUGCGCAGAUAUCAGGAGGAACACCAGUGGCGAAGGCGGUGCUCUGGGCCGGAACUGACGCUGAGGAGCGAAAGCGUGGGGAGCAAACAGG